GACAGAGGGUGCAAACGUUGUUCGGAAUUACUGGGCGUAAAGGGCUCGUAGGCGGUCCAUCGCGUCGGGAGUGAAAAGCUGGGGCUUAACCCCAGUCCUGCUUUCGAUACGGGUGGACUAGAGGUAGGCAGGGGAGAACGGAAUUCCUGGUGUAGCGGUGAAAUGCGCAGAUAUCAGGAGGAACACCGGUGGCGAAGGCGGGUCUCUGGGUAGUAACUGACGCUGAGGAACGAAGCGUGGGUAGCGAACAGG
rnacentral:rRNA from 1 species